AUCUUUAUGCAAGAAGAUGAAGGCGUGUAAUUACAUUUUGGCUGGACCCAACAACACUGCCCAACAAAUCAACUUCAGGUUCAUAUGGAGCGAAAUCCUUCUAACGGGGCAAUAGAUUUAGUUAUUCCCGCACUCAAGGUGAAAAGAUCACGGCUGCUUGACCAUUAUAAGUUUGGUAGCAGACACAAGAUGGGAAAGAAAACCAGUUCAACUCUUUGUCAGGGGCUGAGUUUCAUAAGCAUAUAAUUCCUCGGCAAUCAUCUAUUACUUCACUCUUGAAAAUGCCUCACAAAACUCAGUUUUGUUUUUUAUCUACUGCCAAAAGGUUCUGGUGAACUUCUCGCAUUUAUAUUGCAUAUAUUAUCCAGCAGAUAAGCAGAAAUAUGAACAAUCUGCCAUAUUGUCUUUUCUAGAGAAAGAAUAUCUUGUCACUUAUAUUUAUACAUCGAAUAAAAACUCUCUCACUAUUCAUGGAAGCAUGGUUACACUGGCAAUGUAUAGCAAUAAUUACAAUUAAUUUAUGUGUCCACUGAACUUAGACUGACGUUUUCUGUUACUGUUCUAUAAACUAAGCUAUUGAAUAUAAUGUUUCAUGGUCUAGCAACUGUUGUAUUAGGACUUGGUUGAUGCAGGUAUGCUUGCUGAUAAAAUAUAUUGAAUGCUUUCUUGGAUAAGUUUCCAAACCCUCCAUCCCUUUCGAAACAGUAUAUGUAUAUGAACCUUUCUUUUUCUCCUAUUCAAAGAGUACAUCAUCUCUGGUCCAUUUAUCUUACAAGGGGAUUGCAGGCCAAUCCAUGAAACAGAGAUUUAUAGAUUGAGUUGUGAUUACGACAGUGAAAUUAAAAUAUGGUCCUUUCUUAUCCAUGUUAAGAUAGUGCCAGUAAUCUUUACUACAUUUUAGAGCGGAAAUGACACCUUUCUGGAACCAAAAAUAAAAGAACAGGAAAAGGAAAUGACACCUACAGAUUUGACUUUUGGUUGACAGGUAGCUCUUCUUUUGAGAAGACAUAGAGCACAUGUGGAUGUUGCGGGCAAGAAAUGAUGCGCUGUCCUUGAACAAGCUUCAGAUGAGGUGUGCUCAAAUUUGUGAAGUCAGCUGCUCCUGAUGCUUCUUUAGUUCCUUGGUAAUUCUCUUGGUAGACUAAUAGGCUGGUUAGUGUUAGACUUAACUUUGAGACAAAUGCUAUGAUUUUCCUUUGUGGAAAAGAGUCAAGUAGCUCUUCAGCUUCCAAAUUUAGCUUGAAGUUUGGAUUCAAAAUUUGACCAAGCAAUUUGAUCUCCUAACGCAUUUGCUUUAGACAUUCUUUGAUGGUAUAUUGACAAAGACGUUCCAUACUUACUUUA